rnacentral:rRNA from 1 species
GUGGGUAGUUUGACUGGGGCGGUCUCCUCCUAAAGAGUAACGGAGGAGCACGAAGGUUGGCUAAUCCUGGUCGGACAUCAGGAGGUUAGUGCAAUGGCAUAAGCCAGCUUGACUGCGAGCGUGACGGCGCGAGCAGGUGCGAAAGCAGGUCAUAGUGAUCCGGUGGUUCUGAAUGGAAGGGCCAUCGCUCAACGGAUAAAAGGUACUCCGGGGAUAACAGGCUGAUACCGCCCAAGAGUUCAUAUCGACGGCGGUGUUUGGCACCUCGAUGUCGGCUCAUCACAUCCUGGGGCUGAAGUAGGUCCCAAGGGUAUGGCUGUUCGCCAUUUAAAGUGGUACGCGAGCUGGGUUUAGAACGUCGUGAGACAGUUCGGUCCCUAUCUGCCGUGGGCGCUGGAGAACUGAGGGGGGCUGCUCCUAGUACGAGAGGACCGGAGUGGACGCAUCACUGGUGUUCGGGUUGUCAUGCCAAUGGCACUGCCCGGUAGCUAAAUGCGGAAGAGAUAAGUGCUGAAAGCAUCUAAGCACGAAACUUGCCCCGAGAUGAGUUCUCCCUGAGACUUUAGGUCUCCUGAAGGAACGUUGAAGACGACGACGUU